rnacentral:rRNA from 1 species
UAUGAAGGGGGCUAGCGUUGCUCGGAAUCACUGGGCUUAAGGGCGCGUAGGCGGGCCAGCAAGUCAGGGGUGAAAUCCCACGGCUCAACCGUGGAAGAGCCUUUGAUACUGCGGGCCUCGAGGGAGGUAGGGGCGUGCGGAACUUCCGGUGGAGCGGUGAAAUGCGUAGAUAUCGGAAGGAACAUCGGUGGCGAAAGCGGCGCGCUGGACCUCUUCUGACGCUGAGGCGCGAAAGCCAGGGGAGCAAAGCGGG